rnacentral:rRNA from 1 species
AGUAAGGAGUAACCCUGGAAACGGGNUCUAAUACCGGAUACUGAUCCUCGCAGGCAUCUGCGAGGUUCGAAAGCUCCGGCGGUGCAGGAUGAGCCCGCGGCCUAUCAGCUUGUUGGUGAGGUAACGGCUCACCAAGGCGACGACGGGUAGCCGGCCUGAGAGGGCGACCGGCCACACUGGGACUGAGACACGGCCCAGACUCCUACGGGAGGCAGCAGUGGGGAAUAUUGCACAAUGGGCGAAAGCCUGAUGCAGCGACGCCGCGUGAGGGAUGACGGCCUUCGGGUUGUAAACCUCUUUCAGCAGGGAAGAAGCGAAAGUGACGGUACCUGCAGAAGAAGCGCCGGCUAACUACGUGCCAGCAGCCGCGGUAAUACGUAGGGCGCAAGCGUUGUCCGGAAUUAUUGGGCGUAAAGAGCUCGUAGGCGGCUUGUCACGUCGGUUGUGAAAGCCCGGGGCUUAACCCCGGGUCUGCAGUCGAUACGGGCAGGCUAGAGUUCGGUAGGGGAGAUCGGAAUUCCUGGUGUAGCGGUGAAAUGCGCAGAUAUCAGGAGGAACACCGGUGGCGAAGGCGGAUCUCUGGGCCGAUACUGACGCUGAGGAGCGAAAGCGUGGGGAGCGAACAGGAUUAGAUACCCUGGUAGUCCACGCCGUAAACGGUGGGCACUAGGUGUGGGCAACAUUCCACGUUGUCCGUGCCGCANCUAACGCAUUAAGUGCCCCGCCUGGGGAGUACGGCCGCAAGGCUAAAACUCAAAGG